UCCGUACCGUACACAAAAUGAUUUGGUAGUACACACAAUGUGGCGUAUUACACACAAAAAUAGGCCCUGCUUCCAAGGUGGUUUUCGUCUUUCAAUUGCACCUUCUAUUAUAGUGCGAUGCGAUUCUUCGUCAUAGCGUAGAACAUCAUGUCCCAUCAUGUCCCACCUUCGUUGCUUUACGACAUUAAUUACGGAUCUCGUUUCUCCAACGUGGAUCAGAUCAGUACAUCGUCG